rnacentral:lncRNA from 10 species
AGAUGGUUCUGGUUUUUGUUUUCCCUUUAGAAACUAUUUUUUUCUAUUGAAGUAUAAAAUGGAUACCAAAAAGUGCACAAAUCAUAAGUGUAUAAAGCUCAAUGAAUUAUCACAAAGUGUACACACCAUGUAACCACCAACAAGGCAUGAAAUUGGUCAUGACUGGCACCCCAGAACUCCCCUUCUGCCCCCUCCCAAUAGCUAUUCUCUCCUUCUUCCCCAAAGGAAAUCACCUUCUUGAUUUUUAAUAUCAUAGAUUUGCCUGUUUACAAACUUUAUAUAAAUGGAAUCAUGCAUACAGAGAAGAGUAGCAUGGCCCCUGUGCAAGAAUGACAUGCAAAUUUAUGAAGCAUUCAUUAAAAAAUAAAUAAAUAUAUAUAUAAAUAAAUAAAUGGAAUCAUGCAUUAUGGAUACUUUUGUGUUCAACUUCUUUUAUUCAUGUGAGAUUUGCUUGCAUUUAAGUGGUUAACAGUACAUUAAUUUCUAUUCCUACAUUGUAUUCCAUUUUAUGAAUACAGUAUGAUGUAUGCAUCCAUUCUAUUAUCUAUAAAUACUUGAACUGUUUCCAGUUUGGGGCUAUAAUGAAUGAUACUGCUAUGGUCAUUCAUGAAUAUAUCUUUUAGUACACCACAUAUAUGCCCUAUUAAGUAAGUACCUAGGAAUGAAAUUGCUAAGUCAAAAGUUCAGACUUAAUAGCUACUCCUGGCAGUUUUCCAACGUGGUUAGAUCAAUUUAUGCUUCCACUCCUCUGAUAUAGAAAAAUUUCAGUUGCUCCAUAUUCUCAUCAACACUUGGUGUUUUCUGCUUUUAACUUUAGCCAUCCUAGUGAGUGUGUAAUGGUAUAUCUCAGUAUAAUUUAAACUUGCUUUUCCCUGAUUUCUCUUUUUUUUUUUUUUUUUUGAGACGGAGUCUCGCUCUGUCGCCUAGGCUGGAGUGCAAUGCCGUGAACUCGGCUCACUGCAAGCUCCACCUCCCAGGUUCACGC